rnacentral:rRNA from 1 species
GACGUAGGGCGCGAGCGUUGUCCGGAUUUAUUGGGCGUAAAGAGCUCGUAGGCGGCUUGUCGCGUCGAAUGUGAAAACUCGGGGCUCAACUCCGAGCUUGCAUUCGAUACGGGCAGGCUAGAGUUCGGUAGGGGAGACUGGAAUUCCUGGUGUAGCGGUGAAAUGCGCAGAUAUCAGGAGGAACACCGAUGGCGAAGGCAGGUCACUGGGCCGCAACUGACGCUGAGGAGCGAAAGCCAGGGGAGCAAACGGG